rnacentral:misc_RNA from 1 species
GCGGCCUCUGAGCAAUGAAAAUGAGCUUCAACGGCUAGAUCAAAUACCAUUGGAAAACCUCAGGCCAGAGUUCAAAGCAGGUCUUGAUGCUUUGACAAGAUUUGUUUUUGAGAGGACGAGACCCAAGCAAGUUGGAGCAACUAUUAUGACUGGACCGCUCUUUGCUCGCAUAACUCAGUCCUUCCUGGAUGCUCUUAACAAUGGUGCAGUGCCCACCAUUACCUCUUCAUGGCAGAGUGUUGAGGAAGCUGAGUGUCAAAGGGCAUACGAUUCGGCUGCUGAGAGAUACAUGUCUUCAUUUGAUCGUUCCAAGCCUCCGGAGGAAGGUGCACUAAGAGAAGCACACGAGGAUGCAUCUCAAAAGGCCAUGGCAGAAUUUAAUUCUACUGCUGUGGGGGCUGGAUCCAUCAGGAUGAAAUAUGAGAAGCGUCUCCAAAAUUUCAUAAAAAAAGCAUUUGAGGAGCUUAAAAAGGAUGCCUUUAGGGAGGCUUAUCUACAAUGUUCAAAUGCCAUACAGGACAUGGAAAAGGAACUGAGGUUGGCUUGCCAUGCUCCUGAUGCAAAUAUAGAUAGUGUGCUUAAGGUUCUUGAUCGUCUAGUGUCCAAGUAUGAAGCAACUUGUCAGGGUCCUG